CUCAGACCUGAAGCUGGCCCUGAUAUUAUUGCUGCCUGUGUUUCAUUUCCCCCAAAACAUUACUGAUCUAGACAGACCAUGAUUUCCCUUACAUCAAAUGUCAGUGUUCUGGAAUUUUCUUGUUUUGAAACUUCAGACUACCAAACCUAACUAUAAAAGGCGCAUUUUAAGAUAUGAUCAAAUGAGGAUAGCUGACCAGCUCAUUCCUUCCUCCACCUUUUGGGAGAGAAGAUGGUCUCAUCAAGGCACAUCAGGAAUUUGUUGAAGAUUCGAUACUUGGUGGUGUUUGUUUCCCAAUAUUUAGCAGGUGAAUGGAAGAGAGAUCCACAUUCGUUAUUUGGGAUUACAACUGGCCACAAUUUUAUUGAGAAACUUGACUUGCCUGGCUACACCAAAUGAGGCCAGUGUAUCCUGCUCCAGACUGGGCCACAAUCUCCUCCAAAGCAGAGCUCAAGAAUGCACCAGAUCUUGGAGAGCUCUAAGGGCACCACAUCAGGACCUUGGCCAGAUCCAGUCUCAGGAAAUACAGGA